GUUCAUGUUGGGUGUGAAGGAACAGUGCCGUUUCGAUCAAGUGAACGUAUAGCUUUUCGCUAUCUCAUUAGUCAAAAAUUCACUGGUGAUUCAGUUGAGCUUGGUAUCAUUAGAGCGGGAGAAUUCAUGAAAGUUCAAGCAAUUUUGAAGCCACGUGUGCAUUUGGUUCCUUAUCACAUAGAAGAUGGUCAGCCUUCAUACCUAAUAGUUGCAGGCUUGGUGUUUACCCCACUAUCUGAACCACUAAUAGAGGAAGAAGAAGAUAGCAUCGGGCUAAAACUAUUGA
rnacentral:misc_RNA from 1 species